UACGUAGGGGGCAAGCGUUGUCCGGAAUCAUUGGGCGUAAAGCGCGUGUAGGCGGCUGAGUAAGUCUGCUCUGAAAGCCCGGGGCUCAACCCCGGGAGGCGGGUGGAUACUGCUCAGCUCGAGUCCGGAAGAGGAGUGUGGAAUUCCUGGUGUAGCGGUGAAAUGCGCAGAUAUCAGGAGGAACACCAAUGGCGAAGGCAGCACUCUGGGACGGUACUGGACGCUGAGACGCGAAAGCUAGGGGAGCGAAUGGG
rnacentral:rRNA from 1 species